AUUGAACGCUGGCGGAAUGCUUUACACAUGCAAGUCGAACGGCAGCACGGACUUCGGUCUGGUGGCGAGUGGCGAACGGGUGAGUAACAUAUCGGAACGUAUCCAAUAAUGGGGGAUAACGAGUCGAAAGAUUCGCUAAUACCGCAUACGCCCUACGGGGGAAAGCUGGGGACCUUCGGGCCUGGCGUUAAUGGAGCGGCCGAUAUCUGAUUAGCUAGUUGGUGAGGUAAAGGCGCACCAAGGCGACGAUCAGUAGCUGGUCUGAGAGGACGACCAGCCACACUGGAACUGAGACACGGUCCAGACUCCUACGGGAGGCAGCAGUGGGGAAUUUUGGACAAUGGGCGCAAGCCUGAUACAGCCAUUCCGCGUGAGUGAAGAAGGCCUUCGGGUUGUAAAGCUCUUUCGCAAGGGAAGAAAACUUAGCCACUAACAUUGGUUGAGGUUGACGGUACCUUGAUAAGAAGCACCGGCUAACUACGUGCCAGCCGCCGCGGUAA
rnacentral:rRNA from 1 species